CCUUAUAGAGGAAAUGCGGCAACAAAUCCUUCAACUACAACAAUAGUUGCAUAUGCAAGAAAAGAAAAAAGAGAUAAGGCGGUAAGAAAAAAGGAUCAAAAGGAUGAAAAAGAGGCUAAUCCAUACCAUGAAAACAACAACGAUUUUGACAAUAACACCCCACCUCACCCACGGCAAGUAAGAGACUACCUACGCAAACACCAACUUCAACAUAGCAUGUUUAACCG
rnacentral:lncRNA from 1 species